rnacentral:rRNA from 1 species
GUAAGGAAUAUUGGUCAAUGGACGAAAGUCUGAACCAGCCAUGCCGCGUGGAGGAUGAAGGUCCUCUGGAUUGUAAACUUCUUUUAUAUGGGACGAAAAAAGGCUUUUCUAAGUCGUCUGACGGUACCAUAUGAAUAAGCACCGGCUAACUCCGUGCCAGCAGCCGCGGUAAUACGGAGGGUGCAAGCGUUAUCCGGAUUCACUGGGUUUAAAGGGUGCGUAGGUGGAUUGCCAAGUCCGUGGUGAAAUCUUCGAGCUUAACUCGGAAACUGCCAUGGAUACUGGUGAUCUUGAAUAUCGUGGAGGUUAGCGGAAUAUGUCAUGUAGCGGUGAAAUGCUUAGAUAUGACAUAGAACACCAAUUGCGAAGGCAGCUGGCUACGCGAAUAUUGACACUCAGGCACGAAAGCGUGGGGAUCAAACAGGAUUAGAAACCCGAGUAGUCC